rnacentral:rRNA from 1 species
UACGUAGGGUGCAAGCGUUAAUCGGAAUUACUGGGCGUAAAGCGUGCGCAGGCGGUUGGGCAAGACAGAUGUGAAAUCCCCGGGCUCAACCUGGGAAUGGCAUUUGUGACUGUCCGGCUAGAGUGUGUCAGAGGGGGGUAGAAUUCCACGUGUAGCAGUGAAAUGCGUAGAGAUGUGGAGGAAUACCGAUGGCGAAGGCAGCCCCCUGGGAUAAUACUGACGCUCAUGCACGAAAGCGUGGGGAGCAAACAGG